UGAGGAAUAUUGCGCAAUGGUCGCAAGACUGACGCAGCAACGCCGCGUGAGGGAUGAAGUACUUCGGUAUGUAAACCUCUGUUAGAAGGGAAGAACGGGUGGAUGUCGAACAGGCAUUCAUCGUGACGGUACCUUCAGAGAAAGCCCCGGCUAACUCCGUGCCAGCAGCCGCGGUAAUACGGGGGGGGCAAGCGUUGUCCGGAAUUAUUGGGCGUAAAGGGCGCGUAGGUGGGACAGCAAGUCUGGGGUGCAAUCUUACGGCUUA
rnacentral:rRNA from 1 species